rnacentral:lncRNA from 1 species
UCUAGCUGCCUCCUUCUUUUGGAAAAAUGGAAGACCUGGCAGCACAAUGCUCACAUUCUUUUGCAGCAACAAUCAGCCAGAGGUGAGUGGCUGCUGCCCUUUGCAGCCAGCACUUUGCUGGCCCCAGUUCCCACUAUGCCAGUCGGCUGUCUUUUAUCAUCUCUAACCCCCCAGGAUAUUUAUAUUGCCUGCUGGAUCCCCCAAGGACCUGAGGGUUUUCAACCUCUGUCUGGGGGUGACCCAGGGCCUUUGAUAGAUUAGACAUCCUUUCCUCCCCACCCCUGUGGCUGCUGAUUUUUUAGUAUUGCAAUGCCAGGGCUGGCUCUCUCCCCUUCAAGGGGAUAAGCUGCCAUUACACAAAGAGGUAUGAAGCACGGGCUAAGGAUCAGGCAAGGACUUGUUCCCUGCUUCCCAGAUAACACAUUCCCACUUCAGCUCUAACCUUCUGGGAAUCAUGCCCAUGCCUUUUCUUUUUUCUAUUCCAUUAGUGAUUUUCAAAGAGGAAACUUCAGCCAGAAAAAGGAGCAGAUGGCCCUGUAUCAGGCCUCCUGCAGGGUGAAUAUUUUGGAGGAGUCAGGGCUUUUCUGCGAUUUGUACCUGCCCUAUUAUGGUGGACCAUAGAAGACUUCACCAGACGUUGGUGUCAUGCUUUUAGACUUCCAGCCUCCAGAACCAGGAGCCAAAUAACCUUCUGCUAUUUAUAAGUUACCCAGUUUGUGAUGUUGUUUUUCUCUCUUGUUUGGAUUUUGAGACAGGGUCUCACUCUGUACUUCAGGCUGGCCUCAAACUGCUUGGGAUUACAGGCCUGGCUUGGCAUUCUUUUUAUAGCGGCAGAAAAUGGACAGAAGGAAAAUGAAGGUGGCUUUGUGACACAUCUGUAAGCCCAGCACAGAAUGAUUGUGAGUUUGAGGCCAGCCUGGGCAAGUUCAAGGCCAGCGUGGACUAAAUAGUGAGACUUUGUCUCAAAAAAGAAAAAAAUAAAUAAAAUGAAGGUGAGCAAAACUGAAGAUGUUUGCUGUAAAUGCUUAGUAAGUCUUAAUGCAUUAUUGAAGUUCAUAAAAUGAUAACUCCCUUCAGCUAUCUCAUGUGGCAAUUUUUAUUCCUUUUCAAAUAAGUUGUAUAUGUUUGAUCUUAUGGAGCUUUGUAACAUUCCUAUGAGGUAGACAGAAGUACAAGUGUUACCUUUCCAUUUUACAGAUGAGGAAAUCAAAGCACAGAGCUGUCACACAGCAGGGAGGUAUGGCUUUGCCUACAGUCACACAGAGCUGUAGCUGGUUCAGAAUUCACUGGCAGAGCCACUGUGAAUGGAAACUGGAAUAUGCAGGGUAUGGGUUAAUCAAGGCCUGACAUGGGGUUUGAAUCAGUUGCCAGGGUUUGUCCCUGAGCAAACAGUCUGUGCUGGUAGCAGUCCGGCAUGUCAAGGACCCAUUGUUGAUGUCCUGGCAGGUGGCAAGGGAAAGAACUGGUACAUAGGCAGGACAUUCUCACCCCAGGAACACCCUCUCAUGACUGAUUCCCUUUACAUCAACCAGCUGGAUACAAGACUUGGUUUUUCCUGUCCCAGAAAAAAAUGCCAAUCAAAACAACAAAAAAAGAGAGGGAGGCGGGCUGACUUCUCUCAAGGGAACUUGGUCCUAGAGCCAGGAGUAUCUCUGCCAGGAUGAGAGGGG